AUUGAACGCUGGCGGCAUGCCUUACACAUGCAAGUCGAACGGCAGCGCGGGAGCAAUCCUGGCGGCGAGUGGCGAACGGGUGAGUAAUACAUCGGAACGUGCCCAAUCGUGGGGGAUAACGCAGCGAAAGCUGUGCUAAUACCGCAUACGAUCUACGGAUGAAAGCAAGGGAUCGCAAGACCUUGCGCGAAUGGAGCGGCCGAUGGCAGAUUAGGUAGUUGGUGAGGUAAAGGCUCACCAAGCCUUCGAUCUGUAGCUGGUCUGAGAGGACGACAAGCCACACUGGGACUGAGACACGGCCCAGACUCCUACGGGAGGCAGCAGUGGGGAAUUUUGGACAAUGGGCGCAAGCCUGAUCCAGCCAUGCCGCGUGCAGGAUGAAGGCCUUCGGGUUGUAAACUGCUUUUGUACGGAACGAAACGGCCUUUUCUAAUAAAGAGGGCUAAUGACGGUACCGUAAGAAUAAGCACCGGCUAACUACGUGCCAGCCGCCGCCGUAACAC
rnacentral:rRNA from 1 species